rnacentral:rRNA from 1 species
UUUAAAAGCGGAAGUCAUUCCGCNUUGUAGACUAAAGGGGCGUUAUCUUGUGUGACCCGGGUAUAGGUCCGUUGGAACGCGGCAUCAUGGAGGGUGAGAAUCCCGUCUGUGACUCGGGUAGACUCGCGCAUGUACGUUACGCUUCCAAAGAGUCGGGUUGUUUGGGAAUGCAGCCCAAAAAUGGGUGGUAAAUUUCAUCCAAGGCUAAAUAUAGGCACGAGACCGAUAGCGAACAAGUACCGUGAGGGAAAGAUGAAAAGAACUUUGAAAAGAGAGUCAAAAAGUACGUGAAACCGUUAAAAGGGAAACGAAUGGAGCUAGCAUUUGUACCGAAUUUUUUGGCGCAAUCAGUCGGAAGUCCUUGCGGCAUCGCCGUCCGUUUGUAAUUUGAAUCUUUUUUUAAAUUUACGUAAGGGAGCGUCGUAACAGUCGCCCCGCGGUCGCGGCGUGCGUCGGCAGGGACGGCCGGUGCAUUUGUGCAUUUUUUUCUUUUUUUAAAAAAAAAAUACCCGGUACAGGUCAACGUCGGUUCGGAUACGGGAGAGAAGGUCGUCGAUUGAAGGUCAUCUUCGAGAUACUUGAUUUAUUAAGUUUUCUUGGGGAGAGAAGGGACGUUGGGGUUCGGGGGUAACCUCGCUCUGACGUCUCUGUUAGCCUUCGACGAGUACCGUUAUUAUUAUAUAUAUGUCCCGGGCCGGACCGAGGAGCAGCAGCGCGCCUGGCCUUGAUUGGCUAGGAUUUUGGAACUCCGUCGCCGUAGCCGCAAUGAAAAAACGGCGUGGUGUCUAUAAGACCAUCCUGUUAGACCGGUUUUUCGACGGGGGGAGGCGGACAAUUUAUUGAUCGUUUCCCCGUUUCUUCGUAUUACGAGCGGAGCUCUCUGGACACGCGCAAUCAUGACGUUGGCGAAAUGGCUUCAUCCGACCCGUCUUGAAACACGGACCAAGGAGUCUAACAUACACGCGAGUCUUUGGGUGGAAAACCCGCGGGCGCAAUGAAAGUGAAAUUUGCAGGUGAGAGAUUUUUUAUCGCAUCAUCGACCGGUCACUAAGGGUUCCAAUUUUCAUUUUUGAAGUUGUUACCCUAACGAUCGAGUAGGAGCGUGUCUGUUGGGACCCGAAAGAUGGUGAACUAUGCCUGAACAGGGUGAAGUCUGAGGAAACUCAGAUGGAAGCUCGUAGCGAUUCUGACGUGCAAAUCGAUCGUCUGAUUUGGGUAUAGGGGCGAAAGACUAAUCGAACCAUCUAGUAGCUGGUUCCCUCCGAAGUUUCCCUCAGGAUAGCUGGAACCGUAAAGCAGUUUUAUCAGGUAAAGCGAAUGAUUAGAGGCCUCGGGGCUGAAAUAGCCUCAACCUAUUCUCAAACUUUAAAUAGGUAAGAAGUCCGACUUGCUUGAAUAUUUUUAAUGAAGUCCGGACAUCGAAUGCGACGUUCCAAGUGGGCCAUUUUUGGUAAGCAGAACUGGCGAUGCGGGAUGAACCGAACGCAAAGUUAAAGUGCCAAAAUUCACGCUCACCCAGAACCCAGAAAAGGUGUUGGCCGAUAGAGACAGCAGGACGGUGGCCAUGGAAGUCGGAAUCCGCCAAGGAGUGUGUAACAACUCACCUGCCGAAUCGGCCAGCCCUGAAAAUGGAUGGCGCUCAAGCGUGAUACUUAUACUUUGCCGUUUCGGCAAAAUGGGUGAGAUUGAAAAAAUUUAUUUUUUCGUGUCUCAUCCUCUUUUACGCCGAAACGAGUAGGAGGGCGUGGAGGUAAAUGGUGAAGAAGCUUACGGCGUGAGCCGGAGUGAAACUGCC